CCUACGGGUGGCAGCAGUCGAGAAUCAUUCACAAUGGGGGAAACCCUGAUGGUGCGACGCCGCGUGGGGGAAUGCAGCUCUUCGGAUUGUAAACCUCUGUCAUGUGGGAGCAAAUUAAAAAGAGAGUACCACAAGAGGAAGAGACGGAUAACUCGGUGCCAGCAGCCGCGGUAAUACAGAGGUCUCAAGCGUUGUUCGGAAUCACUGGGCGUAAAGCGUGAGUAGGCUGUUUGGUAAGUCGGGUGUGAAAGGCGGCGGCUCAACCCGCGAACGGCACAUGAUACUGGGAGACUAGAGUACUGGAGGGGUGACCGGAAUUCUCGGUGUAGCGGUGAAAUGCGUAGAGAUCGAGAGGAACACUGGUGGCGAAGGCAGGUUCCUGGACAUUAACUGACGCUGAGGCACGAAAGCCAGGGGAGCAAACGGGAUUAGAUACCCCAGUAGUC
rnacentral:rRNA from 1 species